rnacentral:rRNA from 1 species
UGGGGAAUAUUGCACAAUGGGGGAAACCCUGAUGCAGCGACGCCGCGUGAGCGAUGAAGUAUUUCGGUAUGUAAAGCUCUAUCAGCAGGGAAGAAAAUGACGGUACCUGACUAAGAAGCCCCGGCUAACUACGUGCCAGCAGCCGCGGUAAUACGUAGGGGGCAAGCGUUAUCCGGAUUUACUGGGUGUAAAGGGAGCGUAGGCGGCAUGGCAAGUCUGAUGUGAAAUCCCGGGGCUCAACCCCGGAGCUGCAUUGGAAACUGUCAGGCUGGAGUGUCGGAGAGGUAAGUGGAAUUCCUAGUGUAGCGGUGAAAUGCGUAGAUAUUAGGAGGAACACCAGUGGCGAAGGCGGCUUACUGGACGAUGACUGACGUUGAGGCUCGAAAGCGUGGGGAGCAAACAGGAUUAGAUACCC